rnacentral:rRNA from 1 species
UACAGAGGGGGCUAGCGUUGUUCGGAAUUACUGGGCGUAAAGGGCGCGUAGGUGGCCUGUUAAGUCGAACGUGAAAUCCCCGGGCUCAACCCGGGAACUGCGUCCGAGACUGGCAGGCUCGAAUCCGGGAGAGGGAUGUGGAAUUCCAGGUGUAGCGGUGAAAUGCGUAGAUAUCUGGAGGAACACCGGUGGCGAAGGCGGCAUCCUGGACCGGUAUUGACGCUGAGGCGCGAAAGCGCGGGGGAGCGAACGGG